rnacentral:rRNA from 1 species
GACGAACGCUGGCGGCGUGCUUAACACAUGCAAGUCGAACGGAAAGGCCCUGCUUUUGUGGGGUGCUCGAGUGGCGAACGGGUGAGUAACACGUGAGUAACCUGCCCUUGACUUUGGGAUAACUUCAGGAAGCUGGGGCUAAUACCGGAUAGGAGCUCCUGCUGCAUGGUGGGGGUUGGAAAGUUUCGGCGGUUGGGGAUGGACUCGCGGCUUAUCAGCUUGUUGGUGGGGUAGUGGCUUACCAAGGCUUUGACGGGUAGCCGGCCUGAGAGGGUGACCGGCCACAUUGGGACUGAGAUACGGCCCAGACUCCUACGGGAGGCAGCAGUGGGGUAUAUUGCACAAUGGGCGGAAGCCUGAUGCAGCAACGCCGCGUGCGGGAUGACGGCCUUCGGGUUGUAAACCGCUUUCGCCUGUGACGAAGCGUGAGUGACGGUAAUGGGUAAAGAAGCACCGGCUAACUACGUG